CAGCCUUUUGCAGUUUUGCUAUGCCUGGCUCCUCCUAUGUCGCUGCUGCGCCGAAACAGAUCCAGAGAGAGGUGAGGGGGAUGAGCUCGAGCUCGAGCUCGGUGGAGGGAGGAGAUGGCCGGGAAGAGGAACCGCUCCAGCGGAGGAGAAGAGGUCGACGACGAGAGGAACCGCCCGGGGGAGGAGAAGAGCUCGAAGAAGAGGGGAACGCUUCCUCGCAUGGUACGGCGGCAAGGGUGGAAAUAAGACGGCACAUAAUUGGGAAACAAAAUUGAGACCAUUCGUUGAGCAGUGGAGAACAGCAAGCUUGGUUCACUGGCACGAGGAGGCGCUCUUCGACCGAGCUGCGCAUGAGGCUCACCUACGGUGGUACCGGCCACAGAUGAGAUUGCGCUGCAUACCAAGAGCUGACCCUGAGGACAUGGAGACGGCUCACACUUCGGCUUCGGAGACGUACUAGAGUUCUUCAGUGACCAGCGUCAUAGAUCACUCGCUAAGCAAUAUGGUUACAUCAUUUAUUCAGUUCAUAUUUCGGAACCAUAAGAAGUGACCGAUUUCUAACUGUUAGGAAAUUUGCAGGCCCAGUUGAUGCUGGAGGCUCAAGAGGAGACUGCCGUGAUAAUUAACCGAGUGACCAUGGGGAUCGAAAUGACUCCGUCCGAGAAUCUAGCAGCGUGGCAGCGUACUUAGAGCAAGCUGCGGAGGAUCUUCGAGACUUUGAGGCAUAGGGUGCAUCUGACACCCUGUCUAGUCGCGAAGCACACACUCCCCCAUGCCCCUCACACCGUGCUAGGCCGAUGUUCCAGCCAACGGUCCGCCUGCUGCCUCCACCUUCCCCUAUGCAGUCCGGUGGCUCCUCCUGGUACCACCAGCCUCACCCCCCUCCUGCUCAACUCUCAGUGAUGGUGACAACAGAUACUCCACCACCGCCGGCCUCACAGGUCACCCUGGCCAUGCCACCUCCGGCGCAAUCCCAUACCCGCAAGAGACAUCGCCAUCCUACUCGUAGUCGUAGAAGUGCUGCGCAGGGUUGUGGACAGCGAGGACAGGAGGACGAAACAGGUGCUUAGGACGAACAGACGGUUAGUGGUGUCCCACUAUGUGAUUUGACUUUCUUGACUUCAUUAUAUCCAUAUAUGUAGCACUAUUCAACUUUGUGGUAAAAAGCACAUAUUCCUUUUAAUAAAACUAUAAAGACACAUAUUCAACUCUGCAGACAUUAUAGUAGCAUGAUGCAUCCUUAGGCAGACUCCUUUGAGAAACAAUACAAUACUUCAAAUAAACAGCAGAGCGAUUCCUUUCGGAUUUUUCUCUGAUAAAUGGCAAAUAUUAUUACAUUACCAGAAGUUCAAGAGAGAAAUGAAAAAUAUCUUCAAAACAAUUAACUUUGUUUAAACACACAAGGCAUACUGCGGAUAUGCAGUGCCUUCAGCUCAUUCAGUUUGUUCACUCUAGAAAACUUCAUCUGCUUUAAAUUUCGCCAUCCCAAAGGUCCUCCAAGGUUUUGUAAACGCUUAGAGGGUGAACCGCAAAUUCCCCUUUCAUCAACCUUGCCUGCAUUUUUCAAGUCAAACCAGAUAUCAGAUGUGAAUAAUGAGAGUGUAAGGACUGGAGCUAUCCAAUGAUAUAUUGCCGAGAAAAGAAUGGUCUUGAUCUUUGAAGUAUUGUCGAUUUUCAAGUUAUGUUAGAUAACAGAAGGAACAAGCGUUAAGACUUCAGACAUGCCUGUUUGAUUUCGGAGAACUUUGCCAUUAAAUCUUCAGGAAUGGACCACUCAAAUAUGUCAAAGUUCUCCUUAAUCCUUGCUUCAUUGGUGCUUUUUGGAAGUACACUCUGACCCAUUUGAAGACACCAGCGUAAGGCAACCUGAGCAGGCGUUUUCUGCAACUUCUCAGCAACAGAGAUGACAAUAGGAUUGCUAAGGACGAUAGCCCCACUGACCCCAGGUAGAGAUGAUCCAGGCGAACCUAAUGGCGAAAAUGCCUGCAAGUGACAGUUUAUUUCAACACAUGGAAGCGGCGCAGUACCGAUUAUCAACAAACCAAGAUAGCAGCUUACAAAACUGAAAGAAAUGCUACAGCAUUAGACAUAUCAAGCUUACAGAAAGAUGAACACCCCUCGAAUGGCAUAGUUUUUGGAGCUUGUCUUGCUGCCAAAUCAGAUGACAUUCAACCUGGUUGACUGCUGGAGGCACACGUGCAAUGGCAAGCAAAUCCUCAAUCUUCUUGCAAGAGAAGCUACUCACACCAAUUGCUCGAGCUUUGCCAGAGUCGUAUAGCUUCUCCAUCGCUUCCCAUGUAGCAGGAAUAUCAGGUGGGAGAAUGUUUUCAUGGCUCGGCGUAGUCCCUUUCUUUAUACGGAUUGGAGCAUGAAUCUGCAAAAUAAGGUCAUUUCAACAACCAAACGAGGUAAUAAGUGGUGUGCAGUUAAAGCAGUUAUGUUGUGCACAGUUAUUAAUGUACUCAGUUUAACACAUUUGUAUCUACAAUUUUCUUUCAUAUAUUCGCAAAAACAGAUCAGUCUUGACUAUAUAAUUUAGUGUCAGUUAUUAUCGUGAAAAUCGAACUGUCUUCUCACA